ACGGUCAGGAACUCCUCCCUCUCCCUGGCCUCCCCCUCACAGCCCUGGGAAGUAAGGCAUCUCUGGGACCACUGAGGCCUGGCCAACAAGCAUUUUCUGUAAAGGGCCAGAUCGUAAAUAUUCUAGGUUUUGCAGGCCAAGAGGCAAAAUUGAGGCUAUUAUGUACGUGUAUGCCAUAAAGAUUUCAUUGACGCAAUUCAGAAUAUGAUAAUAAUUGAGAAUAGUUUUUGGUAAUACAGGUCCACGUAUGGGAUGGAAGAAAUUGUUUUUACAAGGAUAAUAGUUUGCUUGGUUGGGGUUCCUAGUCAAUGCUGCCUAUCAUUAAACUGAUUGCAAAUGUUCCCUGUAAGCCCAUUCUUGGUUCCCAGGCCGUUAAAAGCAGGCAGGGGCUGGGCCUGACCCCUGGGCUGUAGUGUGCAACGCAGACCUGAGGGGCCUUCUCGGUCCUGAGAGGGAACCGAGGCCCAGAGAAGCAGGGCCCUGCCGGCUGCUGCACACCACAUCUCAGAACACAGGCUCCUGGCCCCGUAUCCAGGCUUUCUCCCCAACAGCCUGUCCGUUCAUAUAAUCUACAUGCUCUCACUAGCACCUGCUGGGCGCAGCUGUGUCAGGGCUGGUGAGCGAUUCCCAUGCAUGUGGUUCUCACCUGUCUCUGUGCUUACCCAGGCUGGCCUGUCUUCCCCUCACUCCCCUGAGCCCCCCUCAGCUCACUCCUGCACCCACUGCCUGCCGGUCUCACCCGCCCACAGCCCGCAGAGUUUGCAGAUCACAUGGGAUUCCCAGCCAGGAUGUCAGCUGAGGGCGGGUGGCCUCGGAAUGGCCUUCAUGCUGUCCCUGCAGCCUUUCUGGACGGGCCCGGUGAGGGAGGGCAAGGGGAGGAAUGUGCAGCAGCUUUCCUUCCCUCGCUGGCACUUCAAUGGACACCACAAACCUAGUGGCCUCACACCUCUUCAGUAGCCUGUCCUGCAGGGCAAUGUCCUGUGUGUCUGUCCCCUCCCAGGGCAUGGAGCGGGCUUCACGGAGGGCGAGGCCCCGCGAGCACUUCAGCCCACCGAGGGCUGUAAGCAGGGAGGCACAGGGAGAGGCCAGAACCUCUGUCCCAAUGUGCAGCCCACGGCCCGAGACCACAGGGACUGUGGCAGGUCUCCCUCUCGCCCUGCCCUCCCCGAUGAAGCCCAGUGGGAGGAGGCUGUGGGAGUCCCUGCUGCAGGGGUGACGGGAGAGGCUUACAUCCAGGAUGGGCACAGGGAGCACCCUUGGGGGCUGCUGAGGGACCCCCGCCUGGUAGUGCUGGCCCUGACCCUGGCACCUCAGGGCUGCUGCUUCCACCCUGGGUGGCCCCACAUUUCUGCAGAACUCAUCACAGGGCAACCAAUUCAGCCCAGAUUGUCAGGGGCU